rnacentral:rRNA from 1 species
CAGCAGCCACGGGAAUACGUAGGUGGCAAGCGUUGUCCGGAAUUAUUGGGCGUAAAGGGCUCGCAGGCGGUUUCUUAAGUCUGAUGCGAAAGCCCCCGGCUCAACCGGGGAGGGUCAUUGGAAACUGGGAAACUUGAGUGCAGAAGAGGAGAGUGGAAUUCCACGUGUAGCGGUGAAAUGCGUAGAGAUGUGGAGGAACACCAGUGGCGAAGGCGACUCUCUGGUCUGUAACUGACGCUGAGGAGCGAAAGCGUGGGGAGCGAACAGGAUUAGAUACCCCGGUAGUCCCUGUCUCUUAUAC